rnacentral:tRNA from 1 species
GCGGAUGUGCCGGAAUUGGCAGACGGGCUAGAUUCAGGUUCUAGUGUCUUAACAGGCGUAUGGGUUCGACUCCCUUCAUCCGCA